rnacentral:rRNA from 1 species
UGGGGCUCAGUCCGGGGUCUUUAAACAUGCAAGUCGAACGAACCUUCGGGUUAGUGGCGGACGGGUGAGUAACGCGUGAGAAUCUGCCCUCAGGAGGGGGACAACAGCUGGAAACGGCUGCUAAUACCCCAUAUGCCGAGAGGUGAAAUGAAUUUCGCCUGAGGAUGAGCCCGCGUCUGAUUAGCUAGUUGGUGAGGUAAGAGCUCACCAAGGCAUCGAUCAGUAGCUGGUCUGAGAGGAUGAUCAGCCACACUGGGACUGAGACACGGCCCAGACUCCUACGGGAGGCAGCAGUGGGGAAUUUUCCGCAAUGGGCGAAAGCCUGACGGAGCAACGCCGCGUGAGGGAUGAAGGCCUCUGGGCUGUAAACCUCUUUUCUCAAGGAAGAAGAUCUGACGGUACUUGAGGAAUAAGCCACGGCUAAUUCCGUGCCAGCAGCCGCGGUAAUACGGGAGUGGCAAGCGUUAUCCGGAAUUAUUGGGCGUAAAGCGUCCGCAGGCGGCCCUUCAAGUCUGCUGUUAAAACGUGGAGCUUAACUCCAUCAUGGCAGUGGAAACUGUUGGGCUCGAGUGUGGUAGGGGCAGAGGGAAUUCCCGGUGUAGCGGUGAAAUGCGUAGAUAUCGGGAAGAACACCAGUGGCGAAGGCGCUCUGCUGGGCCAUAACUGACGCUCAUGGACGAAAGCCAGGGGAGCGAAAGGGAUUAGAUACCCCUGUAGUCCUGGCCGUAAACGAUGAACACUAGGUGUCGGGGGAAUCGACCCCCUCGGUGUCGUAGCCAACGCGUUAAGUGUUCCGCCUGGGGAGCACGCACGCAAGUGUGAAACUCAAAGGAAUUGACGGGGGCCCGCACAAGCGGUGGAGUAUGUGGUUUAAUUCGAUGCAACGCGAAGAACCUUACCAGGGUUUGACAUCCUGCGAAUCUCCUGGAAACGGGAGAGUGCCUUCGGGAACGCAGUGACAGGUGGUGCAUGGCUGUCGUUAGCUCGUGUCGUGAGAUGUUGGGGUUAAGUCCCGCAACGAGCGCAACCCACGUCUUUAGUUGCCAGCAUUCAGUUGGGCA